rnacentral:rRNA from 1 species
UACGUAGGGGGCAAGCGUUGUCCGGAUUUAUUGGGCGUAAAGCGCGUGUAGGCGGGUCUUUAAGUCAGGGGUGAAAUGCCAAGGCUCAACCUUGGAACUGCCUUUGAUACUGGAGACCUUGAGUCCGGGAGAGGUGAGUGGAAUUGCGAGUGUAGAGGUGAAAUUCGUAGAUAUCAGGAGGAACACCGGUGGCGAAGGCGGGUCUCUGGGCAGUAACUGACGCUGAGACGCGAAAGCGUGGGGAGCGAACAGG